rnacentral:rRNA from 1 species
UAGUCCACGCCGUAAACGAUGAAUACUAGAUGUCUGGUGCCAAGCGUACUGAGUGUCGUAGCUCACGCGAUAAGUAUUCCGCCUGGGAAGUACGGCCGCAAGGUUAAACUCAAAGGAAUUGACGGGGGCCCGCACAAGCGGUGGAGCAUUGUGGUUUAAUUCGAUGCAACGCGAAGAACCUUACCUGGGCUUGACAUGUCUGGAAUCCUGCAGAGAUGCGGGAGUGCCCUUCGGGGAAUCAGAACACAGGUGCUGCAUGGCUGUCGUCAGCUCGUGUCGUGAGAUGUUGGGUUAAGUCCCGCAACGAGCGCAACCCUUGUCCUUAGUUGCCAGCGGUUCGGCCGGGCACUCUAGGGAGACUGCCGGUGACAAACCGGAGGAAGGUGGGGAUGACGUCAAGUCCUCAUGGCCUUUAUGUCCAGGGCUACACACGUGCUACAAUGGCGCGUACAGAGGGAAGCCAAGCCGCGAGGUGGAGCAGACCCCAGAAAGCGCGUCGUAGUUCGGAUUGCAGUCUGCAACUCGACUGCAUGAAGUCGGAAUCGCUAUAAUCGCGGAUCAGCAUGCCGCGUGAUA